AGCGAACGCUGGCGGCAGGCCUAACACAUGCAAGUCGAACGAACCCUUCGGGGUUAGUGGCGGACGGGUGAGUAACACGUGGGAACGUGCCUUUAGGUUCGGAAUAACUCAGGGAAACUUGUGCUAAUACCGAAUGUGCCCUUCGGGGGAAAGAUUUAUCGCCUUUAGAGCGGCCCGCGUCUGAUUAGCUAGUUGGUGAGGUAAUGGCUCACCAAGGCUACGAUCAGUAGCUGGUCUGAGAGGAUGACCAGCCACAUUGGGACUGAGACACGGCCCAAGCUCCUACGGGAGGCAGCAGUGGGGAAUCUUGCGCAAUGGGCGAAAGCCUGACGCAGCCAUGCCGCGUGUAUGAUGAAGGUCUUAGGAUUGUAAAAUACUUUCACCGGGGAAGAUAAUGACGGUACCCGGAGAAGAAGCCCCGGCUAACUUCGUGCCAGCAGCCGCAGUAACAC
rnacentral:rRNA from 1 species